AACGCACAUGAAAAGCACCACAAUGAAAGGCUACCCAAAGCUUGCACCCACUGCCACCUUCCUGCCAUGACUGGUUAAGGCAGAAGGGACACAUUAUUUUGUCAUUACACGAUCUGAACACCCCCUUUUGCACAGAGUAAUGGAGAGGCUAGACUCUUAGACAUCCCUGGAAUGGGUCGGGACAGCAGGGGCCCAGGCUUUAGAGCUCUGGGUUGACUCUGCUCCCAUCCCCAGGAUGGAAGCGGCUACAUUGACGAGCAUGAGCUGGAUGCCCUUUUGAAGGAUCUGUACGAGAAAAACAAAAAGGAAAUGAAUAUUCAACAGCUCACCAACUACAGAAAGAGCGUCAUGUCCUUGGCAGAGGCAGGGAAGCUCUACCGCAAGGACCUGGAGAUUGUGCUCUGCAGCGAGCCCCCCAUGUAAA
rnacentral:sRNA from 1 species